CUAACUCCGUGCCAGCAGCCGCGGUAAUACGGGGGAUGCGAGCGUUAUCCGGAUUUAUUGGGUUUAAAGGGUGCGUAGGCGGAAGUGCAAGUCAGCGGUGAAAUCCCCGCGCUCAACGCGGGAGUUGCCGUUGAUACUGUACAUCUGGAAUGCUCUUGCCGUGGGAGGAAUGAGUAGUGUAGCGGUGAAAUGCAUAGAUAUUACUCAGAACACCGAUUGCGAAGGCAUCUCACGAAGGGGCGAUUGACGCUGAGGCACGAAAGCGUGGGUAUCGAACAGGAUUAGAUACCCUGGUAGUCCACGCAGUAAACGAUGAUGGCUAACUGUCGGGUUUUAGGAUUCGGCGGCCAAGCGAAAGCGAUAAGCCAUCCACCUGGGGAGUACGACCGCAAGGUUGAAACUCAAAGGAAUUGACGGGGGCCCGCACAAGCGGAGGAACAUGUGGUUUAAUUCGAUGAUACGCGAGGAACCUUACCCGGGCUCAAACGACAGGGGAAUAAUCCCGAAAAGGAUUAGCCAGCAAUGGUCGCUGUCGAGGUGCUGCAUGGUUGUCGUCAGCUCGUGCCGUGAGGUGUCGGCUUAAGUGCCAUAACGAGCGCAACCCUUAUCGAUAGUUACCAUCAGGUUAUGCUGGGGACUCUGUCGAGACUGCCGUCGUAAGAUGUGAGGAAGGUGGGGAUGACGUCAAAUCAGCACGGCCCUUACGUCCGGGGCUACACACGUGUUACAAUGGGGGGUACAGAGGGCCGCUACCACGCGAGUGGAUGCCAAUCCCAAAAACCUCUCUCAGUUCGGACUGGAGUCUGCAACCCGACUCCACGAAGCUGGAUUCGCUAGUAAUCGCGCAUCAGCCAUGGCGCGGUGAAUACGUUCCCGGGCCUUGUACACACCGCCCGUCAAGCCAUG
rnacentral:rRNA from 1 species